GAUGAACGCUGGCGGCGUGCCUAAUACAUGCAAGUCGAGCGAACGGACGAGAAGCUUGCUUCUCUGAUGUUAGCGGCGGACGGGUGAGUAACACGUGGAUAACCUACCUAUAAGACUGGGAUAACUUCGGGAAACCGGAGCUAAUACCGGAUAAUAUUUUGAACCGCAUGGUUCAAAAGUGAAAGACGGUCUUGCUGUCACUUAUAGAUGGAUCCGCGCUGCAUUAGCUAGUUGGUAAGGUAACGGCUUACCAAGGCAACGAUGCAUAGCCGACCUGAGAGGGUGAUCGGCCACACUGGAACUGAGACACGGUCCAGACUCCUACGGGAGGCAGCAGUAGGGAAUCUUCCGCAAUGGGCGAAAGCCUGACGGAGCAACGCCGCGUGAGUGAUGAAGGUCUUCAGAUCGUAAAACUCUGUUAUUAGGGAAGAACAUAUGUGUAAGUAACUGUGCACAUCUUGACGGUACCUAAUCCGAAAGCCACGGCUAACUACGUGCCAGCAGCCGCGGUAAUACGUAGGUGGCAAGCGUUAUCCGGAAUUAUUGGGCGUAAAGCGCGCGUAGGCGGUUUUUUAAGUCUGAUGUGAAAGCCCACGGCUCAACCGUGGAGGGUCAUUGGAAACUGGAAAACUUGAGUGCAGAAGAGGAAAGUGGAAUUCCAUGUGUAGCGGUGAAAUGCGCAGAGAUAUGGAGGAACACCAGUGGCGAAGGCGACUUUCUGGUCUGUAACUGACGCUGAUGUGCGAAAGCGUGGGGAUCAAACAGGAUUAGAUACCCUGGUAGUCCACGCCGUAAACGAUGAGUGCUAAGUGUUAGGGGGUUUCCGCCCCUUAGUGCUGCAGCUAACGCAUUAAGCACUCCGCCUGGGGAGUACGACCGCAAGGUUGAAACUCAAAGGAAUUGACGGGGACCCGCACAAGCGGUGGAGCAUGUGGUUUAAUUCGAAGCAACGCGAAGAACCUUACCAAAUCUUGACAUCCUUUGACAACUCUAGAGAUAGAGCCUUCCCCUUCGGGGGACAAAGUGACAGGUGGUGCAUGGUUGUCGUCAGCUCGUGUCGUGAGAUGUUGGGUUAAGUCCCGCAACGAGCGCAACCCUUAAGCUUAGUUGCCAUCAUUAAGUUGGGCACUCUAAGUUGACUGCCGGUGACAAACCGGAGGAAGGUGGGGAUGACGUCAAAUCAUCAUGCCCCUUAUGAUUUGGGCUACACACGUGCUACAAUGGACAAUACAAAGGGCAGCGAAACCGCGAGGUCAAGCAAAUCCCAUAAAGUUGUUCUCAGUUCGGAUUGUAGUCUGCAACUCGACUACAUGAAGCUGGAAUCGCUAGUAAUCGUAGAUCAGCAUGCUACGGUGAAUACGUUCCCGGGUCU
rnacentral:rRNA from 1 species